CUGUAACAUGGAAUAUGUACAGAAAUCAAAUAAAUAAAUCAUUAAAAAAAUCAUCAAAGAGCAUUAAAAAGGUCAUAAACCUAGGUACCUGGGAUUAAAUGUUUUGCUCGUGAUUUACAGUCGAUAUGGCCCAGGGGAAGCAGCUGUUUGUUAAUCUGGUGGUGUGUGAUCUGAUUGUCCUGUAGCAGCGUCCUGAGGGCUGCAGGUAAAACAGGUUGGGUGGGUAGGGUUCCUCAGGAUUGCCUAGAUGCAGUGGUUCUCUGAGGGCCAGCACACUGACU